CUUAAGCAUAUCAAUAAGCGGAGGAAAAGAAACCAACAGGGAUUGCCCUAGUAACGGCGAGUGAAGCGGCAACAGCUCAAAUUUGAAAUCUGGCUCUCGGGCCCGAGUUGUAAUUUGUAGAGGAUACUUUUGAUGCGGUGCCUUCCGAGUUCCCUGGAACGGGACGCCAUAGAGGGUGAGAGCCCCGUCUGGUUGGAUGCCAAAUCUCUGUAAAGUUCCUUCAACGAGUCGAGUAGUUUGGGAAUGCUGCUCUAAAUGGGAGGUAUAUGUCUUCUAAAGCUAAAUACCGGCCAGAGACCGAUAGCGCACAAGUAGAGUGAUCGAAAGAUGAAAAGCACUUUGAAAAGAGAGUUAAAAAGUACGUGAAAUUGUUGAAAGGGAAGCGUUUAUGACCAGACUUGGGCUUGGUUAAUCAUCUGGGGUUCUCCCCAGUGCACUUUUCCAGUCCAGGCCAGCAUCAGUUUUCCCCGGGGGAUAAAGACGGCGGGAAUGUGGCUCUCUUCGGGGAGUGUUAUAGCCCACCGUGUAAUACCCUGGGGGGGACUGAGGUUCGCGCAUCUGCAAGGAUGCUGGCGUAAUGGUCAUCAACGACCCGUCUUGAAACACGGACCAAGGAGUCGUCUUCGUAUGCGAGUGUUCGGGUGUCAAACCCCUACGCGUAAUGAAAGUGAACGCAGGUGAGAGCUUCGGCGCAUCAUCGACCGAUCCUGAUGUUCUCGGAUGGAUUUGAGUAAGAGCAUACGGGGCCGGACCCGAAAGAAGGUGAACUAUGCCUGUAUAGGGUGAAGCCAGAGGAAACUCUGGUGGAGGCUCGCAGCGGUUCUGACGUGCAAAUCGAUCGUCAAAUAUGGGCAUGGGGGCGAAAGACUAAUCGAACCUUCUAGUAGCUGGUUUCCGCCGAAGU
rnacentral:rRNA from 1 species